UUAACUAUUAUAUAGUACUCAGACAUUACUAAACAAACGAGUUUGGGUCCUCUGGCAGGCGCAGUCAGCCGAAGCCAACGCCCCGAGGGGCGGCCUGCCAAAGCAACAAAGGUAUAGUAUACACGGUUUAGAAUUACCCAUUUCAAAAAACGGGGCGUUCUUUAAUGAUCCUUCCGCAGGUUCACCUACGGAAA
rnacentral:misc_RNA from 1 species